GAUGAAGAACGUAGCGAAAUGCGAUAAGUAGUGUGAAUUGCAGAAUUCAGUGAAUCAUCGAAUCUUUGAACGCACAUUGCGCCCCUUGGUAUCCCGAGGGGCAUGCCUGUUCGAGCGUCAUUUCGCCACUCAAGCCUGGCUUGGUGUUGGGCGACGUCCUCUUUGGGGACGCGCCUCGAAACGCUCGGCGGCGUGGCACCGGCUUUAAGCGUAGCAGAAUCUUUCGCUUUGGAAGUCGGGGCCCCGUCUGCCGGAAGACCUGCUCGCAAGGUUGACCUCGGAUCAGGCAGGGAUACCCGCUGAACUUAAGCAUAUCAAUAAGCGGAGGA
rnacentral:misc_RNA from 1 species